rnacentral:rRNA from 1 species
CCUUGACAUACUAAGAACUUUCCAGAGAUGGAUUGGUGCCUUCGGGAACUUAGAUACAGGUGCUGCAUGGCUGUCGUCAGCUCGUGUCGUGAGAUGUUGGGUUAAGUCCCGNAACUAGCGCUAACCCUUUUCCUUAUUUGCCAGCGGGUCAUGCCGGGAACUUUAAGGAUACUGCCAGUGACAAACUGGAGGAAGGCGGGGACGACGUCAAGUCAUCAUGGCCCUUACGGCCAGGGCUACACACGUGCUACAAUGGUCGGUACAAAGGGUUGCUACCUCGCGAGAGGAUGCUAAUCUCAAAAAGCCGAUCGUAGUCCGGAUCGCAGUCUGCAACUCGACUGCGUGAAGUCGGAAUCGCUAGUAAUCGCGGAUCAGAAUGCCGCGGUGAAUACGUUCCCGGGCCUUGUACACACCGCCCGUCACACCAUGGGAGUUUGUUGCACCAGAAGUAGGUAGUCUAACCGCAAGGAGGACGCUUACCACGGUGUGGCCGAUGACUGGGGUGAAGUCGUAACAAGGUAGGCGUAGAUGA